GUCUACGGCUACACCACCCUAAACAAGCCUGAUCCCAUCUGAUCUUGGAAGCUAAGCAGGGUUGGGCCUGGUUAGUACUUGGAUGGGAGACCACCUAAGAAGACCAGGUGCUAUAGGCG
rfam:Pteropus alecto contig169759, whole genome shotgun sequence.